rnacentral:rRNA from 1 species
AUUGAACGCUGGCGGCAGGCCUAACACAUGCAAGUCGAGCGAGCGGCGGACGGGUGAGUAAUGUAUGGGGAUCUGCCCGAUAGAGGGGGAUAACUACUGGAAACGGUGGAUAAUACCGCAUACUAUAGGAUGAACCCAUAUGGGAUUAGCUAGUUGGUGGGGUAAUGGCGCACCAAGGCGACGAUCCCUAGCUGGGCUGAGAGGAUGAUCAGCCACACUGGGACUGAGACACGGCCCAGACUCCUACGGGAGGCAGCAGUGGGGAAUAUUGCACAAUGGGCGCAAGCCUGAUGCAGCCAUGCCGCGUGUAUGAAGAAGGCCCUAGGGUUGUAAACCUCUUUCGCUAUCGAACGGGUAGGUGGAGAAGAAGCGCCGGCUAACUACGUGCCAGCAGCCGCGGUAAUAC